rnacentral:lncRNA from 1 species
AAUUCUCAACUAAAAAUUGAGGCGAGGGCAUGACUCAUACCCAAUUAUUAAUAUCCAACACUUAGUGACUUUAUCGAUUAAAUUUAUAGUUGCCACCCUCUGCAUAAAAUUUAUAGUUUAAAUUUCAAUCUCCACCCCAGACUCUCGGUUAAAAAUGUAUUUUAUAUGGUUUUUUUAAAAAAAACAAUGGCUUGAUGACUGGCAUUAGCAAUGUAAUAAGAGUUAGGAUCGUGACAUCGUGGCAUGAAACAAUCAAA